CACUUCUACAAGCCAACACCCUGUCAUUUGCCCUUUACAAGACCAGUGCUAAAUUAGCAAGAGACAUUAAUCACAAGUUUUGUUUUCUAAGUGAGCUAAAUUCCUAAGUUUUUCCCUAAGACCACUUUUUUUUUUCCUUAAUGGGAGACCUUGACUAUGACCACUUUUUAACUGGGCCAAAUUAGCAGAUGAUGGAGGAGUUUGGGAGUGAGUGUUGAAUCUGUCACAAGACAAGCUGAAACACAAGGCAUCAUCAAAUAAGAGACUGGGAAAAAGGAAUAAAACAUUUUGAAUCAGAAACAAAAAUUACUAAAUGUACAGAGUAUAAUUGAAGGAAAGUAUCUACAGAGUUUCUCUGUGAGACUUUGGAGCCUGUCCUGGAACUCGCUCUGUAGAAUAUUCUGACCUUGAACUCACAGAGAUCUGCUUGGCGCUGCCUCUUGAGUGCUGGGAUUAAAGGCAUGUGCCACCACUGCCUGGCUCAGUGAUUCUCUCUUAUCCUGUCUUCUACAUUCCAUAGCUUCAAUGUCCCAAAAUCAACUACAGCUCAAAACUACUAAGUAGAAAAAUAUCAGAAAUCAACUAUUUGCAUCUUUAAAUAAAAAUCAGUUACAUUACAUUAUUGUAAUUAUUAUUAAACAUUAUUCUUUAUUUAUUCCUUUAAAUGUAUUCUUUUUAUAAAUUAAACUUUUUCAUUGGUAUAUAUGGUAAAUGGCAUAUAGAUUUCUUAUUGUAAUGAUUCCUAC